GAUGAACGCUGGCGGUAUGCUUAGCACAUGCAAGUCGAACGGUACCUUCGGGUAUAGUGGCGGACGGGUGAGUAACGCGUGAGAAUCUAUCUUCAGGUCGGGGACAACAGUUAGAAAUGACUGCUAAUACCGGAUGUGCCGAAAGGUAAAAGAUUUAUUGCCUGAAAAAGAGCUCGCGUCAGAUUAGCUAGUAGGUGGUGUAAGAGACUACCUAGGCUUCGAUCUGUAGCUGGUCUGAGAGGACGAUCAGCCACACUGGAACUGAGACACGGUCCAGACUCCUACGGGAGGCAGCAGUGGGGAAUGUUCCGCAAUGGGCGAAAGCCUGACGGAGCAAUACCGCGUGAGGGACGAAGGCUCUUGGGUCGUAAACCUCUUUUCUCAAGGAAGAUUCAGACGGUACUUGAGGAAUAAGCAUCGGCUAACUCUGUG
rnacentral:rRNA from 1 species